GAUGAACGCUGGCGGCGUGCCUAAUACAUGCAAGUCGAGCGAACAGACGAGGAGCUUGCUCCUUUGACGUUAGCGGCGGACGGGUGAGUAACACGUGGGUAACCUACCUAUAAGACUGGGAUAACUUCGGGAAACCGGAGCUAAUACCGGAUAAUAUUUCGAACCGCAUGGUUCGAUAGUGAAAGAUGGCUUUGCUAUCACUUAUAGAUGGACCUGCGCCGUAUUAGCUAGUUGGUAAGGUAACGGCUUACCAAGGCAACGAUCCGUAGCCGACCUGAGAGGGUGAUCGGCCACACUGGAACUGAGACACGGUCCAGACUCCUACGGGAGGCAGCAGUAGGGAAUCUUCCGCAAUGGGCGAAAGCCUGACGGAGCAACGCCGCGUGAGUGAUGAAGGUCUUCGGAUCGUAAAACUCUGUUAUUAGGGAAGAAUAAACGUGUAAGUAACUGUGCACGUCUUGACGGUACCUAAUCAGAAAGCCACGGCUAACUACGUG
rnacentral:rRNA from 1 species